GCGUGACGUCAGCACGUAGACGCGGCUUCCUAGAUGAGGUGGAGCGCCGCUUGGCGACCUGCCGGGUUCCUAAAGGAAGUUUCAGGUGCGCUCACUUGGCUUAGCCUUGGACUUGUAGAUAGGAGGGAACGGAGUACGAAGAGAAAGACCAACAUCUAUUGAUUCCUUUCCCUUACCAAGCAUCUUGCUAGGAACUGUGAAGAAGACGACCCUCAUAAUCAGACACAAAAAGAAAUCAACGUUUAUACCACAGUGCAAUUAAGUGUUAUGUUAGAGAAAUCCACCAGGUAGGUGUUGUGGAAAUCUAGAACCCCCUUUAACCCGAUAGAAGAGCCAAGGAAGAAGCGAAGAGAGAAGUGUAACAUAUUCCAGUAUUUGAGUUAGUAGAGUUAGAAGGAGGAGGUGGGGAAGCCAGAGGAACAAAUAGGCCACAACUGAAAGGGCCAUGUUUGGCAUGUUUACAGGUUAGAGAUUCAUCUUGGAAGUAGCAGGACACAAUUGGAUUCCGUAGUGACACUUUGAGAUAUCGUAUAUGAGGAACCUGUGCAGGAAGCUGCAGUGGAUCAUAGACCUUCAUCUAGUUUCCAAUCUAGAUAAUCUUCGGACAUGGUCAUGUCCAAGGUAAGGAGCCAACCCAAGGUAGGGAGCCAACCCAACAGAGUAUUAGGAUCAGAUCCUGGUGUCUAUGGAAUAGUCCCAAGCCACUGAUGAGUGGUUUAAUGUCAGUUCUCCCUUAUCCAGCUUAAAUUUUACACUUUCGGUCCAAUAAUAUCGGAUACACUUCACAUGUUAGCCAGGAUCAGCGAUUCCCUUGGUGUCUAUGUUGUUAGUUCCAAGAGGAAAAGUAUAUGUCCUUGCCAACUGUGGCAGCAUGUUUUUUGGUAAAAUGUAUGCUUAAUCUUGAUUGUCGCACUACUACAUUAAGAAAAAACAUACUACCAGAGGAGGCACACUUGUAACUUUAUUUUUAUGGGUGAACCUAUAAAACCCAAUAUGUAUAUGUGUGUGUGCAUGCGCGUGCAUGCACAGAAUCACCAUCAAUGUGACAGCUACAUAUUUAGAUUAACAUAGAUGAGUUGUAUUGGCACUUCAAACAUCAAGAUUAACAUAGCUAUUAAUGAUG
rnacentral:lncRNA from 1 species